UUACUUUGGUAGUGCAUAUACUAAACUUAGAACUAUACAGAGCAGAGAAGAUUAGCUGCAUGGCUCCUGUGCAAGGAUGAUAUGUAAAUUAGUGAAGCGUUUCUCUU
rnacentral:snRNA from 1 species